rnacentral:rRNA from 1 species
ACGGGGUGUUAGGGCACGACACCGGAGAGGGAGCCUGAGAAACGGCUACCACAUCCAAGGAUGGCAGCAGGCGCGCAAAUUACCCAAUCCCGACACGGGGAGGUAGUGACAAUAAAUAACAAUACGGGGUUCUUUCGGAUUUCGUAAUUGGAAUGAGUACAAUUUAAAUCUCUUAACGAGGAACAAUUGGAGGGCAAGUCUGGUGCCAGCAGCCGCGGUAAUUCCAGCUCCAAUAGCGUAUAUUAAGGUUGCUGCAGUUAAAAAGCUCGUAGUUGAAUUUCGGGACCAAUAUGUCGGUCGUGCCUCGGUACGUACUGGCAUCGUUGGUUUCUCCCUUCUGACGAACCAUGAUGUCAUUUAUUUGGUGUCGUGGGGAAUCAGGACUGUUACUUUGAAAAAAUUAGAGUGUUUAAAGCAGGCUCACGCUUGAAUACAUUAGCAUGGAAUAAUGAAAUAGGACGUUUGAUUCUAUUUUGUUGGUUUCUAGGAUCGACGUAAUGAUUAAUAGGGAUAGUUGGGGGCAUUAGUAUUCAAUUGUCAGAGGUGAAAUUCUUGGAUUUAUUGAAGACUAACUACUGCGAAAGCAUUUGCCAAGGAUGUUUUCAUUAAUCAAGAACGAAAGUUAGGGGAUCGAAGACGAUCAGAUACCGUCGUAGUCUUAACCAUAAACUAUGCCGACUAGGGAUCGGAUGAUGUUAAUUUUUUAAAUUACCCCUUCU